AUUGAACGCUGGCGGCAUGAUUUACACAUGCAAGUCGAACGGUAACAGGCCGCAAGGUGCUGACGAGUGGCGAACGGGUGAGUAAUGCAUCGGAACGUGCCCAGUCGUGGGGGAUAACUACUCGAAAGAGUAGCUAAUACCGCAUACGAUCUAUGGAUGAAAGCGGGGGACCGUAAGGCCUCGCGCGAUUGGAGCGGCCGAUGUCAGAUUAGGUAGUUGGUGGGGUAAAGGCUCACCAAGCCAACGAUCUGUAGCUGGUCUGAGAGGACGACCAGCCACACUGGGGCUGAGACACGGCCCAGACUCCUACGGGAGGCAGCAGUGGGGAAUUUUGGACAAUGGGCGCAAGCCUGAUCCAGCAAUGCCGCGUGCAGGAAGAAGGCCUUCGGGUUGUAAACUGCUUUUGUACGGAACGAAACGGCUCUGGUUAAUACCCGGGGCUAAUGACGGUACCGUAAGAAUAAGCACCGGCUAACUACGUG
rnacentral:rRNA from 1 species